rnacentral:rRNA from 1 species
CCUACGGGUGGCAGCAGUGGGGGAUAUUGCACAAUGGGGGAAACCCUGAUGCAGCAACGCCGCGUGUGGGAAGAAGGCUUUCGGAUUGUAAACCACUGUUCUGAGGGAAGAUAAUGACGGUAACCAUGUUGAAAGCUCCGGCUAACUACGUGCCAGCAGCCGCGGGAAUACGUGGGGAGCAAGCGUUGUCCGGAUUUACUGGGUGUAAAGGGUGCGUAGGCGGUGUGGCAAGUCAGACGUGAAAACCACAGGCUCAACCUGGGGACUGCGUUUGAAACUGUGGGGCUUGAGUGACGGAGAGGUCAGCGGAAUUCCCGGUGUAGCGGUGAAAUGCGUAGAGAUAGGGAGGAACACCAGUGGCGAAGGCGGACGACUGGGCUUUAACUGACGCUGAGGCACGAAAGCGUGGGUAGCAAACAGGAUUAGAUACCCCAGUAGUU